CUCACAGAUCCAACAACAUCAACCCCACCUGGCUGCCAGGAGCAGGGCCAGCCCACAGCAGCCACGGAGCCCAUGGGAGAAGUCAGAGGAGGAAGCAGAGGCAGGGCACAGGUCCUGCAGGGGAUGAACACACCAAAUGUCUCAGCUUUUCAUUCUGAUGAUCUCCAGCUCAUCUUGCCACUGGCUCGAAAUGCCCACGUGCAGGAGAAACAUCUUCAUCCUCCUCCAGCUUUCUCCCUGGCCAUGUAAUACACACACUUUAAUCUGAAGGAAGCCCAAGUCUCAGGACCAUUUCCAUGCUUGGUCCAAGUGGUCAAGCAAAAGAUUCAAGGACUUACAGUCUGUUUCAUCCAGAAGAGGAAAUUGAUGAGGGCAUCAGAUAACUUAUGCACCUUCUCAAGGAAAGGCAAAUUCUCCUUUCCUACUAUUUUAGGGGAAUUGAAAAACAAAUCUCAAAUCUGAAAGGACCUCCCAGGGCCUUUCCUUGGGUCAGACUCACUUUGCACAGCUAGGCAGUGCUGGUACAACAAUCACUGACUGCCUGUGAUGUCUGUGUGUUACCUGAACACUCCAGCUCUUCACAGAAUUGAAAUGUAAGUCCUCUGUUCUGGCCAGUGGGGUUCCAGUUGCUCACAUCUCUGUUUGAACAGGGAUGAAGCUCCUUCCUGCCUUUGGAGAUGACCAUUAACUCAGCUACCUGGUUUAAGGUGCUCUAGAACUUCUUGCAGAAAAGGACAAUGAUCUUUCCCACCAUUUUGACCUGAUCUGCAGCAACAUCUGUGGUGCAUGUCCCCAGAGCCACAUGGCAAGGGAAUGGCAGUCCCUGGUUCUGUAACUUGCAGCCAGCUUGCAAGACAGAAUUGAGCAGCUGGGCUCUCUACUUCUUAAAAAAUGUCACCUGAUUCUAGGUAACAGGGAGAUCAUUCUGGAUCUAAACCACAUAUUUGUUGUUUUCCUGAGGAAUAGCUGAACAAUUUGAACUUGAGACAAAGGUUCUUGCUGAAAUCCCAUUUCAAAAGCUGCAAGAGUGUUCUUAUUCCUUUGCUGCUCCUCACACAAACUGUACUUCCAUCUACUUGCCCUUCAGUGCCUGGCAGCUUUUGCUGCAUUUAGCCCAGCAAGACACAGGUGCAACUACAGCAGAUGGUGGCAAACUUCAUCUAACAGAGGCAACUUUCAGGGCACCUUCUUCAGGAAAAGCAGAUUUUUGCUCAAGAAAUAGAAUAUGAAAGGGUCCAGAUACCAAGGGUUAUGAAUCUAGCAAUAACAUAGCUCUGCUGAUAAUGACAAUGUUUUGAAUAAUUUUUAUUUGAAUAGAUCUGACUGCAUUACCAAUAUCUAUGGUGUUGCUUGGUAACUAUUUCCUGAUACCCAGAGACUGAAAAACAAUUUUUCAAAACUAAAUUACAAUUCUGAUAUUAAAUUUCACAUUUUAGUGGUUUCAGUCUCUUCUGUAUGGCUGUUUAGCCACAGCAAUAUUGCUGGUAAUAUUUUUUUAUAUUAUCCACUUUUUUUUCUUUUUUUUUUUUUACUUUCUUUCCUUUCCCAAAGGUGCCAAGUUAGGUAACAAGUAAAUAUUUCAUACUCAUUCCUUGGAAAUAUGUUGAUAUUUUAAGAAGAGUCAGUAAAACUGUAAAGUGAGAAUACAGGUGAUCUCAGACUCAAGUUGCAUAAUUCAGGAUGAGUUUCAAAUUUCAAGUAGCAAGCAAUUCUAAAUUAUCAGUGGGUGGGAAUAAAAUUACCACAUAAAGCAGUAAAGCAAAUGGUAUUAAAGUGUUACAUGGAAAAUAGGUGAAUAUGUUUGAAUAUUAGUCACACUUCUCUGUAUUUGUUUUGCUGUUGGUGCAGUUCCAGCAUUCACUUAUUUUCCAGAAGCUGCAUUGUGUGGUCAUGAAGAUAAAGGAAAAUAAUAAUAAUAAUAACAACAACAAUAACAAAUGUAGUACUGUUGAUGGGAUCAUAAUUCAGUAAUGAAUAAAAUACCACAAUGCUCUACUAAAUUACUUGUCAAAAUUUACCUCAGAAAAUAAAAAGGCUAAUUAAAAAGAGGAAGGAACAAACCCCACUAUGCUGCAGUUUCAAAAGUGUAUCUGCUGAUUUCCUCAUGUUGCAAAUUUUAGUUACAAAGCCAUGCCUUGCCCAUUUUUUGAGGAUUAACAAAUUCACUUCUGCCUUCUCUGCUAAGGAGGACAGCACUACAGAAGGUGGUAAGAUGCUUGUAAAUGCCAGGGUUCUGUUGCUUUGUGGAUGCUUCUGUGACUAAAGGAAUGUAGCAGUUGUGUGAGACGACCCCUAAUAUCUCUUUUGCUCCCUGACAAUGCCAGAUUGUGCAGGGAGCUGUGCUUGAAAAUUAAAUUCCCACCUCCCCAAAUAUAUGCACAGUGACUUUCUGGAACAUGAUUUUAACAACAAGUACCCACACUUUGUUCAUUUGCUUUCUCAGUGGCCUCUUUUGACUGAAGGCUUGAAGCUGGCAGCUCAGAACUGUAGAAGGUCAGAAGAAAGCAAAUAACAUUUGUUUUACAGCUAUUGGUACUAGCAAAAGUUUAGCUGUGGGCAAGUGAUUGCAUCAAUUCUACUCCAUAGCUCUUACAAAAGAAAAUAGAUCUUGAGAUCACUUUGGAACACCCUUUCUUUGACUUUGAGGAAACAGGAAAAUCUGCAUGGUAGAUGACUGAGGAGUUUGAUUCCUCCAAAAGUCCUCAGCCACUGAAUGCACUUCCUAAGAAAUCCUCAAUUACAGCAAACUAGACAAUUUGGAGAGGACUAGGCAUUUCCAUCAAGGCUGUAAAAUGUAGAACACCUGUAGAAAAAGUUGCAACCUAAAACUCCCCCAGUUCAUUGCCAGGUUAAACUGACUUCUGACAUUUAAAAAAAAAAAAACUGAAGGUUUUUUUGUCCCCAGGGCCCAACUGUGUCCUAAGUGCCACAUUCCUAUGGAGGCUAUGGAACCUUCAGCACUGGAAAUCUUGAAAAAAACAGAUCAGACAGAGCUGUCUGGAGUGACAUCUGCAGGCAAGCUUGCUGUAAGACAAAGGAACCCAAAAGCCCUGGUCUCACUCCUGUCAUUAGAUUUCUAAUAUUAUUAAUAUCACUUAGUAAUACUUGCACUAAAAGAUUUGUUCAUUUUAUUGCAAUUAUGGGAAGCACUUAAGCCAAGGCCAGCUACCUUCCUGAAGGAAAGUUAUAUUUCACAUAUUUUGGGCUCCAGAAGAGACUCAUUAGGAGAUUUUUUGGUCUAUGCUACAGAAAAGGACAAGCCCCACAGCUGCAAUGACACCAAGUAAUUCCAGAUUCACAGAAUAUAUCACAGCAGUUGUUUAUUCAUUGUUUAAGUACAGAUAUACUUAAUAUUGCCCAAAACCAGACACCACGGGUGUGGCACAUCCUCAGUCCAUCCCCUCUCACCCAGGAUUAAGGCAUCUGUGGUUCCCUCAAAAGGCUGUGGUGUGGUUUGUUCAAUCACACAGGAAAUAACUGGGACAAUAAGAUGUCUCAGGUCUAGUCUCCAGGGUACUACCAUCCUAAAAUACUACAAAAAUGUAUGAACUCCAUGCCAAGAAACAACAGUUGAGAAAUUGUGAGUUCUCUUCUUCGGCUUGGGGUGGUGGGGUGAAAUUCCUAGGGGUCAAAUCAACAUUUUUUCUAAAAAACACAAAGUUAUCCUGAGGUUAUAUAACUCUGUCUGGUGGAGCUUGUUAAACAGCUUUAUCCUGGAGUGGGCCAUGCUGCUGAAAACUUAAAAAAUUAUUUCCUUUUUGGUAAGAAAAAGAGCAUAUUGUGGGUGGCUUGGUGCUUCAUAGGUGUGAUAAGCUAAGAACUCAAUACUCCUCCCAGGUUCUGGGAAUUUAACAUCUCAAGGCCUCAGUCCUUGCAGAACCAGAAAUCACGGUUGUUACUUUGGUGAUCUUUUACAAUUAGACAUUUUCCUCGUGUGAUUUUUAUGCUUUUGAUCACUAAUAUUGCACUGUUUAUUUCUCUGCUUUUAUUAUUGUCAAGGCUGAAACAAUGUGUGGGAGAGAAAUGUGCUCAGAAAAGACAGACUCUAGUUUUAUUCCUCUGCUCACACUGCAAAAUACAGCACACAACAAAUCUGCAAGCAAAUCUGGAUUUGUGACUUAUGUGGGCCAUUAAUAUUUAAUGCAUGCAGCAUCUACUCUUUUGCAGGGAAGAACUAUGGCUCCAGAGGUGCAAAUGCUCUUUCUUUGUGAGCAGCCUUGCCCACACAAGUAAAUCAAAUAAGUAAAUUCACAUGCACAAGACUUUGCCACCUGGGACCAGGAUGAUUGUGUACAGCUCAACUCGAAAGUUUCUAAUUCUCCUUUUCUUUAUGGCAAACACCUUUAAAGAUUUUCAAACUAUUUAUAUUAAUAAUUGAGAAAGCUGAGUGUCUGAGCCUGCCUGAAUUGCAGUUGUAGUAUAAUUUUGAAGGAGAGCUAGGGAUCUUUACUAUGAACAAACAAAAAUAUCCAGCUUUGUUUUAUUUAGGUAUUUGAAUGAUGACCUUUUGAAGUAUAUUGAAAUGAAAGAAAGAAGCAUUCUCCAAAGAUUUUGUACAGAAUAAAACAAGCAUUGCUAACUUCUGUCUCAUUUUCAGGUCUUAUAGGCCUGUCUUGUUUUACAUGUACCUUUGCUAAAUAAAAAUGCUCACUAUAUUCUUGUAAAACAUAGUUAAAUGGGAAGAUUUCACUCUAGUAACCACUGAAAGACCAUAAAACCAUACCAUAAAACCAUAAAGUACCAUAAAACAUAAAUAUAUUCACUAGACUAUACCUUUUACUGACUAAUAAGGAAAAUAUUUCUAACUUUCUUAGGGAGAAUAAUAUUAAUGCUUUUUAAAAUUAUCCUUUCUGCUGGUUAAGUGUGGUUUUUGCUUGGCUUUAAGUAUCAAACUUCUCCAAGAACUCUCCAUCCUGUACAAAAUUAGAAUCCCCUAGUUACUGAGAGUGAAAGGGAGGAGGUAUUUGACCUUCUGUGGCCCCCAAACAAGGGAUCUAAAUUUAUGGUUUUACCUGGAUUUUCUAUGUACAUUUUUUGCCUUUCAAGAGCAGCCUCUUCCUCCGGGUGAUUUGUUGGAAUUGUGGCUGAGAGUCAAGAUGAUACUGAUAAAGAAAACAGCACUGCAGAACAAUCAAACCCUGCUCCAGAUGCCCCCAUGGCAUUUUUGGUGGGCAGUGUUUUUCUCAGUGGGGCUCUACUGUGUGUGCAUGGAUACUUCCAAAGCUCAGCACAGAAAUGCCAGGGGUUUUCUGAGCUUUAGAAAAGUAGCUUUUAACAAAGCAUUUGCAGCUAAAGGUAGGUUACUGAAAUCAGAAAAGGGUGACCAACAUCUUGAUGACCAUCUGGUUUUAAUGAUUGCAGGAAGUGGCACAGCAACAGGAAUUCUCCUGCAAUGCUUCAUUUAUGGGAUCAGACUUUUCUGACCAAAAAAAACCAACAAACUUAGUUUAGGGAAAUUAUUUUAUAGCUCAUCUACUUCUGUUUCCCAAACUGUGCCUAAUGAAAAGGAAGAUGACAAUUAUUCCCGUUCUGAAAACUGGAAUUUGUAACACUCAGAGUCUUUUUCCCUUCACAAAUCUACACUGAGACAUUGAGAACUGGGCUACUGAUUCAUGUACACUACUUGAGACAACACUUAAAACCAUAGGUAUUUCAGGCUUGGUAGCAGUAAAAAAAAAACUAACCUCUGAAUCACCAAUAGCUGAAAGUAGUUCUUUGUGUACAUGCAGAGACAAAAUAGAUUUAGAGUGGAAACUUUUUUGACAAGUAUGAGUCUAAUGGUAUUUGAAGUAGAUGAGAUAUUGAUUCCCAAAAAUAAAUAAAUACAUUCAAAUGCCCAACCAUUUUAAACUUCAAAACUAUCUGCAAAGUUAACAAUGUCACACUUAGAUAACAAAAGAAGUCCUUUCUAUACAAUUGCCAUGAAAAAGGAUUUCUGUCACUUUUCCUUUAUGAGGACAGCAGCAUGCACGGCUGGAGAAAAAGUGCACAACCUCAGGAGUGGUUCCUGGACUUUGUGGUCCAGGUCAAGUGAAUUUCAUAAACAAAGAUGUUAAAAAAUCUGCAGUCAGUGUCCAGACUGGCUACUGAAAUAGCAACAACAGCAAAAAAAAACCCCAACCCUCCAGCAAAUCUCACUCAGGCUGGAGUUUCAACCCUUUCUCUGGACUGUUCCUGGGAGCUGAAUUCUGUUAAUUUGGUAGCACACACGUGAUGAGAGCAAUGAGGAGACGUUUUCAGACUGACAGCAGGUCUGAGCGGUGCUGCACGCUCCGUGUUCUCCAGCUGGGAAUCAGUUCCAGCCCACAAACCACAAACCUGUGUUCAAGCCCCAAGCUGCUGUCCUUUCCCUUUCAGCUGCAUUUUGUGCCUCACUCCAAGCUCCAUGUUCUCAGGCUGUAAAGCUCAAGAGGAGCUGUUGGCACCUGGCUGCCCUGGCUCGUGGCAGCAGCACUUUUAUUAGCAUUUUUAUUAUUCC